rnacentral:rRNA from 1 species
UGGGGAAUAUUGGACAAUGGGCGCAAGCCUGAUCCAGCCAUGCCGCGUGAGUGAUGAAGGCCCUAGGGUUGUAAAGCUCUUUCAACGGUGAAGAUAAUGACGGUAACCGUAGAAGAAGCCCCGGCUAACUCCGUGCCAGCAGCCGCGGUAAUACGGAGGGGGUUAGCGUUGUUCGGAAUUACUGGGCGUAAAGCGCACGUAGGCGGACCAGAAAGUUGGGGGUGAAAUCCCGGGGGCUCAACCCCGGAACUGCCUCCAAAACUAUUGGUCUAGAGUUCGAGAGAGGUGAGUGGAAUUCCAAGUGUAGAGGUGAAAUUCGUAGAUAUUUGGAGGAACACCAGUGGCGAAGGCGGCUCACUGGCUCGAUACUGACGCUGAGGUGCGAAAGUGUGGGGAGCAAACAGGAUUAGAUACCCUGGUAGUCCACACCGUAAAACGAUGUCUACUAGCCGUUGGGAGACUUGAUUUCUUAGUGGCGCAGCUAACGCACUAAGUAGACCGCCUGGGGAGUACGGCCGCAAGGUUAAAACUCAAAAUGAA